rnacentral:lncRNA from 1 species
GUAGAAGACAGGCAUCCUCAUUGCCACACCUCUCUCCUGUCCCGUGUUCUAGGAAACCCUUCAAUCGGUUGGCCAUCACCCACUGAACCAAGCUCCAAAACUGGUAACCCCAGACACCUGCACAUUCUCAUUCGGUGCUCAGUGGUCAUCAUCCCCUUCACCAUCCUCCUCUUCUUUCUCCUUCAUCUCUGGUGCUCUGACAAAAGAAUACGUCUCACAAAGCAGAGUCCAGAGACCGCAGGGCCAUGUGUGGAAGCAGGAUGGAGCAUGCAGGUAUGUGUGUUUUUCACUAGCAGGAUGCUCCCUGGCCCAAGUCAGGAGCCACAGAGGCGGGGCUUUCUAGAGAGAGCACCAGACACCCUGCCCCUGCCCUCAGCUCACAGACCUUUGCCUGAUUCUGAACUGUAUCCUCACAUCCCUGUAGCCAUUGACAUCCAGGAGAGUGUUCGAUGACAGGCAGAAAGUGGGAGACAGAAUCAAUGGGAUGGGAAUUGCGAGCUCUUCAUGGGAGGGAUUCUUGUACUCAGAUAGAAUGUCUGAAUCUGGCUGUUGGCAGCUGAGGGACCUCAGGCACCCAUGGCCUCCCCCUGUGUGUUGGUGUUUGCACAUGAAGUGAGGACCCAGAAGUGUCCUCCCAGGUAUUUUGAUGACUUCCAUCUCCUACAGAUGCUGCAGUCAAAGACCAAGAGCCUGGGGCGGACAGAACAGUGAACAGGGAGGUAGGUCCUCCUCGGCCCAGCCUCAGGAAUGGGGUCUUAUUCCCUAAUAGUCCCGAAGAAUGUGAGCCCCUCCCUCAGUCAACGUUUCCCUCUCUUCAGGACUCUGAUGAACAAGACUCUCAGGAGGUGACAUUUGCACAGCUGGAUCAAUGCGUUUUCACACAGAGAAAAAUCACUCGCCCUUCUCAGAGGCCCAAGAGACCCCCAACAGAAACCAGUGUAUACAUGGAACUCCCAAAUGCUGAGCCCAGAUUGCUGUCUCCUGUCCAUGAGAACCAUAGACAGGCCUUGAGGGGUCCUCUAGGGAGACAAUGGCCCUGUCUCAAACCCUGCUUGCCAGCUCCAAUGUAACAGCACCUGGGACCUGAAGGCGUGAGUCUGCAUCUUAGGGGAUUGCUCUUCCUCACAGCAUGAAUCUGAACGUGGCUGUCUCUCACUUACAAUUGUCUGCGGUCCUCACUGCCUGCUGGAGAGAAAACACACUUGUUUGCUUCACACACAAUUCUCCUUUUUACUUGACCCCUGCCCACCUCUCCAACCUACCUGGCUUACUUCCUGGUCCUACCUGAGGCUGCAGUCACACUGAGGAACUCACAAGUCCAGACUAGAAGAGGCUCCCUCUUAACACAGCACUUAGACACAUGCUGUUCCAGUUUUCCUCAUGCUGUUCCACAUUCCCUCAGACUUUGAGGGAUUUUGCAGCCUUCUGUCUCCAGUAAAAUUUUUAAGUUCUUUUUAUAUAUAAUUUUGAUGUAGUUCUCCUCAAAUAAAC